GAUGAACGCUAGCGGGAGGCCUGACACAUGCAAGCCGAGCGGUAUUGUUUCUUCGGAAAUGAGAGAGCGGCGUACGGGUGCGUAACACGUGUGCAACCUGCCUUUAUCUGGGGGAUAGCCUUUCGAAAGGAAGAUUAAUACUCCAUAAUAUAUUGAACGGCAUCGUUUAAUAUUGAAAGCUCCGGCGGAUAGAGAUGGGCACGCGCAAGAUUAGCUAGUUGGUGAGGUAACGGCUCACCAAGGCGAUGAUCUUUAGGGGGCCUGAGAGGGUGAUCCCCCACACUGGUACUGAGACACGGACCAGACUCCUACGGGAGGCAGCAGUGAGGAAUAUUGAUCAAUGGGUGCAAGCCUGAACCAGCCAUCCCGCGUGAAGGACGACUGCCCUAUGGGUUGUAAACUUCUUUUGUAUAGGGAUAAACCUACCCUCGUGAGGGUAGCUGAAGGUACUAUACGAAUAAGCACCGGCUAACUCCGUG
rnacentral:rRNA from 1 species